GCGGGAAUAGCUUUUAACCAGGGUUUUGAAUUUUUUUUGAUGGGCUUAAAAGAUUAGGGUUUUUCCAUUGGGGGACAAAAUAAGAGGGGGUGGCAUGGUUGAUGUACAAUUGUGUUCGUGAGAAGGUUGGGUUAAGUCCCGCAAGGAGGCCAACCCUUAUGACUAGUUCCCAGCAUUUAGUGGGGCACCCUAGUAAGACUGCGGGUGACAAACCGGAGAGGGGGGGGGAAGACAUAAAAAUCAUCCUCCCCUUUAUGACUGGGGCAACACAUGUGCUACAAUGGAUGGUACAACGAGUUGCGAGACCGCGAGGUCAAGCUAAUCUCUUAAAGCCGUUCUCAGUUCGGAUUGUAGGCUGCAACUCGCCUACAUGAAGUUGGAAUCGGUAGUAAUCGUGGAUCAGC
rnacentral:rRNA from 1 species